AAGCUGCUUCACUUUCAGGGAUCAUUUCUAUAGUUUGUUACUAGAGAGCAGUUUCUCUGAUUGUGUAAAGUACUGGAAAGAAACCACACGGAGGAAGUGCAGUGUUCUCUCCUGAGCAACUCUUGAUGUUGCUUCACUGCAAUGGUUACUUGCCACUGAUGAUUGUUCUUCUCUUCCUUUGGGAAAGUAAAAGGGAGAGGGCACAGUUUGGU
rnacentral:snoRNA from 1 species